CCUACGGGUGGCAGCAGUGAGGAAUAUUGGUCAAUGGGCGCGAGCCUGAACCAGCCAAGUCGCGUGAGGGAAGACGGCCCUACGGGUUGUAAACCUCUUUUGCCGGGGAGCAACGGGCGCCACGUGUGGCGCCACUGAGAGUACCCGGAGAAAAAGCAUCGGCUAACCCCGUGCCAGCAGCCGCGGUAAUCCGGAGGAUGCGAGCGUUAUCGGGAUUUAUUGGGUUUAAAGGGUGCGUAGGCGGCGUGUUAAGUCAGUGGUAAAAUUGAGGGGCUAAACCCCUUCCCGCCAUUGAAACUGGAGCUCUUGAGUGGAAGAGAGGUAGGCGGAAUGCGUGGUGUAGCGGUGAAAUGCAUAGAUAUCACGCAGAACCCCGAUUGCGAAGGCAGCAUGCCGGGUUCCGACUGACGCUGAAGCACGAAAGCGUGGGGAGCGAACAGGAUUAGAUACCCCAGUAGUC
rnacentral:rRNA from 1 species